GCUCCGACAAUGGUCGCAAACGAAGGAGAGAAAAGUGCGAGGACGAGCGACUUGGAUGGAUUUUUUUGAAGUCAGAUGAAUUAUCGAUAAUCGAUGGUGCCAAGAGAAAAAACAAUCCUCGAAGCGAAUUGAAGGCCAGGACAGAGGAGUUUUGUUUCACUUCCAUCGAGGAACAAUUAUAAACGCAAUUACGCUUUAUUUGUUCUCGCUUAAUUGACAGUAAGGAGCAGGAGAGUGAAUGCGGUAAGGCAUUUUGCGCGUGUGUGUCUCGGCACUCGGACUCGGAGCUACCGUCAUAACGCGGGGUUCAAGGAGAUUGCCCGAGGAUAAAAUAGCGGGUGUGGCCAGUCUCGUACGGGGUUGAACGCGAGCCCGAGUCGGCUGAUAGACAGCGAGAAACGUCGAUUACCGCUCGUGUUUUCGACCAAGGACGCGCCUAUGCGCAACGGUCACUGUUAAUUCUCGUUACUGUUAGACCUCGAUGUGCGUGUACCUCACGAGACGAUUUGGAAUCGCGUAAACACGAAGGGAAAGAUUCAACUCCUAAAUGAUGCGACUGAUCCUCGAGUGACGAGGUUUUCCCUGGAAGCUCAUCGACAUCGAUCAUCCACGAAUAAAAUGAAGAUCGAACCGAUUCCUUUCCGUCUGCACGUUCCGCCCAAGCGUGCCUGCGCUCUCCUUCGAGACUUUUUUGGUGAAGAGCGGAAAGAGGAGAUGCAUGUCUAUGAUCGCCGAAUUGGGACGUAUAAUAAUGGAGAAUUACGGAGGAUCGAAGCGGGCUUGCACAAUGUGAAAUGACCGGCGAACGAGAGGCAAUCGAGAAUUUGCACAAAGCGAAUAAACUUUCUCGCCCUCGUGUAUACACGCGGGGAUAUACGUGUAUCGCGUCCUUCGUGGCUUUACCGCUCGACAUUCACCGCCCGGUGGAUCUCUCGUGCUUCGUUUUAAAUAGCGGCGAGGACUAAUUUUCUCCCUUCGUUUUGUUCUUCCUCCUCGUUGUUUGUUACGAAAGCGUGGGUGAUGUUGCGCUCCGUUUACGUCCCGAAGCUUUUUCAAGGAAAGUGAACGUUUCGCGUGCGAUCUGACGUCUACCUGCCGUGCCUCCGAUCGGCGAGCACACCUUUUCGUAUUCUUUUUCUUUAAUUUAUAAAAGAACAUGAGAAAGCAGAUAGGAUCGAUCCUUCGUGAGGUCACGGGAGAAGGCUGAGCGUCCGCGAUCGUGAAAGCCCCGGUUGGCUCGCGUAUAGGGCCAGGGUCGAGCCCCUUGUUUCUCGAAACUCCGCGACGAAAGUCGACGGAUUUGUAUCGAGGCUUUCGAAAGGGGGGAGUGUCGAAAAAUCCUUGCGAAAUUCGCUCAGCGAGGUCCGCUCCUCGUUCCCGGAAGAGGGAGCGAGCCUCGCGGAGUCCGCUUGACCCAAAGGGGUCACGGAAUGUGUAUCAAAUUCCGGAGCUCGAGGGCCGAACAUUGGCAAAAAGCGUUCGACGCUUUGCGUAAUUCCGUGGCUCUCGGAGCGACCGAGUCGCCGUCAAUUUUCUUUUUCCUCGACUUUUUUGCCACGCAGUGACGUAAGAUUAUUCCCUGGAGAAAGGCCGCGGGUGACAAAUCGCUUUUUGGCGAGAGCACAAAUGCUCCUCGGAUCUCAGGCUUCCGGGAACAGUAUAUAAAUUGACAGAAGGAAUGAUAAUUCUUGCUGCAGUUUCCCGGUACGACUUGCCACGCGAAUACUUCGUGUGUGCCUCGUUGACGUUUUUUAAACUGCGAAAAAACAAACGGUUUCCUUAAAGAGACAGAAAAAUAUUUGCUCCGAGUAUUUACCACGCAGAAACAAUGCCAUUCGAGUCGACUUCGGCGGUUAUUAAAGACCGGUCAUUAAAAACUUCACCCGAAUGCAUGCUCCGAGUGGACGCGUGUCCGUGUGCAAACGCUCGUUCGUUCGGUACGAGUGUGGACCGGGCCUCGUUAUCACGUCGUUAACGCGAUCAGAGAGGCAGAGUUUGUGGCGGUGGUUAAUAUGAAAGUAGAGAAAUUAGGUAUUCGAGAUCGAUUUUUCUCGUUAUUGUUACUCGUAAUUUCACGGUUCGUCCAAUCGACGAUGUUGAGUUAUGAAACUGCCAUAUUAAACUGUGAAAUCGGGUUGAACUCGUAAAAUCAAAUAUUUCUCAUUUAAUUAUGCGGUUGAAAAUAUGAUUGUGCUCCACAUAGGAACAUGCCGAGAAAAAAGUUCAUCGUUGAAAAGAUUCGGAUGAAAAAAGAUCAACAAAUCCACAAAUAUCUGUUAUUACAGUCGAAGCACACGAGAAUAUAACAAAGUAACGUAAUUUUACGAUAAUCGGAGGCGGGGAAAAUCCGCUUCGCGGUCGUAUCGUCGUUCCGUGCUGGCGUUAACGAUGAAAAAAGGGAACGGAUAUUAUUCUCUCGGGAGGCUGCUGCCGCCGCCGCUGCUGCUCGCACUGGGGAUUGUUCAGUGGGUCCAAGGGGUGGAAGUACAAAAAAUUGAAGCUCUUCGACGUCUCUUUAAAGAUUCGUUCUAAGAUCGACGAACUGCGUGAGCGUUAAGAAACUUGAACUCAGAGCCUGUGAAUUAUACCCUUUUCUACGUCAAUUGGCGAUGCGAACACUCGGUUCGUAAAGUACGUAGAUCUUGGAGGAAAAUUACGACACUCGAGCGUUCCGUGUAUCUGCAUUUGUGGCGUACGCACGAACCGGGUCCACAGUAUAAUUCACCAAGGAACAUAUCGCAUGUGGGAGCCGCUACCAUUGUCGUCCAUGUGACCGCGUGUGUCGCAGUUCUCGCAUAAGUCACACUCAAAAGUAACGGAAAUGCUCGCCUGAUCGAAGAGCCGACGGCAAGACCGAAAAUUGAUCAAUUUUUACAUCGUGGCCGGAACGAGAAUCAUCCUUAAGGAAAAUGACACAGUCAACGCUCGCGUAGCAAUGCGCCCGUGGGCUUGUGACGGGCUAAACGCAGUUUCUCUCCUGCAUAACAUGGAAGUGCAGCGCGUAUACGUGAGUUCGGAUAUGCGCUCUGUGCUGGAAAGAGUGAACGACAGCAGCAGCAGCAAGGAGAGAUACAUGUGGUCGCAGCUAUUAGCCUACCUAUGUGCCGUGCUCGCAUACCUAACGUUCAAUUAUAUAAUGCCCAACGACCCCAAUAAUAUCAGGGCUAUACUGUCGUCAGUCAUCGUACGAUCGAAAUCGACGUGUCGAAAUGAAAAAUGGGCUGAAACACGAAGUAAAAUCAUACCGAAGCGGAGUUUAGUAGAAUUUUGAAGAAUGGAACGCUGAUUGAUCGAAUCAAAGUGACAGAAAAAGCUUCCAAUGAUUCUUCAAAAUUCAAAUUCGUGAGAAAGUGAAAUGGUUGAGAAUUAUUUUUUCGUUGCAUAAUCCACUCGCCAUUCUUUUAAAUAUGAUGAAGUUUAAUGUCCUAUACAGAGACGAAAAAUUUGCAACUCGUGAAUGCGAUAUUAGAAAAUACAAAAUCAACUCAAAUAUGAAGUAAACCAUCGAUACCAUCAGAGUAGAAUGGAUUUAAAGGGAUGAAACGUCAGUCAAUCUCAAUGAGCACUGGUAAAAAGCACCCACUCGCAGGUCCUUGAUUCAAAUUUCUAACGUAAUCACAACUGAUAAAAACUGUUUUUUUUUUCACGAGGUCACGCGAGCGCGGGGAUUUUUAACGAUUGUAAUCGAUCACUAAGGAAUUUUUACCGCUGAAAAGUCUCGUUGUAAGAU